AAGUCGUAACAAGGUUUCCGUAGGUGAACCUGCGGAAGGAUCAUUCACUUUGAACAUUGUAAGGUAGAUGAGGGUGAUCUCUUCUUGAGAAAGCGUUUGUUUACUGAGCAAUUAUAGAAUCUAUAUUAACCUAAACUAACUGAGCCGCGUUAUCAACCAAAUCCUGCGAAAACAUACUUACAGCGUAUUGAGCUGCUUCGUUUUCUGGAAUGUAGUGGGUAGGGGUUGUCUAAAUACUUGUGUUUAGCUGACCUCUGUCUGGGCCCCGCUGUUGACCUGGUUUCAACUCGGCAGGGAAUCCUUACAUCAUCUGUGUCUACACUUUUAACCUUGUUGGCUUCGAGAAAUUGGGCUAACUUAUUGAAACAAAUUUUACAACUCUUUGCAAUGGAUAUCUUGGUUCUC
rnacentral:misc_RNA from 1 species